GACGAACGCUGGCGGCGUGCUUAACACAUGCAAGUCGAACGGAAAGGCCCUGCUUUUGUGGGGUGCUCGAGUGGCGAACGGGUGAGUAACACGUGAGUAACCUGCCCUUGACUUUGGGAUAACUUCAGGAAACUGGGGCUAAUACCGGAUAGGAGCUCCUGCUGCAUGGUGGGGGUUGGAAAGUUUCGGCGGUUGGGGAUGGACUCGCGGCUUAUCAGCUUGUUGGUGGGGUAGUGGCUUACCAAGGCUUUGACGGGUAGCCGGCCUGAGAGGGUGACCGGCCACAUUGCGACUGAGAUACGGCCCAGACUCCUACGGGAGGCAGCAGUGGGGAAUAUUGCACAAUGGGCGGAAGCCUGAUGCAGCAACGCCGCGUGCGGGAUGACGGCCUUCGGGUUAUAAACCGCUUUCGCCUGUGACGAAGCGUGAGUGACGGUAAUGGGUAAAGAAGCACCGGCUAACUACGUG
rnacentral:rRNA from 1 species